UACAGAGGGUGCGAGCGUUAAUCGGAAUUACUGGGCGUAAAGCGUGCGUAGACGGUUAUGUAAGUCAGGUGUGAAAGCCCCGGGCUCAACCUGGGAAUUGCAUUUGAGACUGCAUAGCUAGGGUGCGGAAGAGGGAAGCGGAGUUUCCGGUGUAGCGGUGAAAUGCGUAGAUAUCGGAAGGAACAUCAGUGGCGAAAGCGGCUUCCUGGUCCAGCACCGACGUUCAGGCACGAAAGCGUGGGGAGCAAACAGG
rnacentral:rRNA from 1 species